rnacentral:lncRNA from 1 species
UCAAGCAUGGUAUAAACCUCUCUCGAAUGAAUCUCAACAAUCUUAUCAUUAUCCCCUAACCCAAUAGAUGUAAUCAAUUCCAAUAAAUCUUCCAGUCCAUUUUCUUCAUAAACACCCAAAAUCCUCUCAUCAUCUUGCAAUGUACCUAUCUUGCGUAACUGUCCUUCAAUAUCAUAUAAUCUUUUUCUUUCUUUUCUUUUAAAAUCAUCAACUUUCUUAUACAUAAUAUUUCCAUUCUCCAAUAUACCAAUAAAACUCGCAUCAAAGG